rnacentral:rRNA from 1 species
UACAGAGGUGGCAAGCGUUGUUCGGAAUUACUGGGCGUAAAGGGCGCGUAGGCGGUUCGUUAAGUCCUGUGUGAAAUCCCCCCGGCUCAACUGGGGAACUGCACAGGAAACUAGCGGGCUUGAGUUCGGGAGAGGGAAGCGGAAUUCCGGGUGUAGCGGUGGAAAUGCGUAGAUAUCCGGAGGAAUGACCGAGUGGCGGAAGG